rnacentral:rRNA from 1 species
GAACGGAUCCUUCGGGAUUAGUGGCGGACGGGUGAGUAACACGUGGGAACGUGCCCUUUGGUCCGGAACAACUCAGGGAAACUUGAGCUAAUACCGGAUGUGCCCUUCGGGGGAAAGAUUUAUCGCCAUUGGAGCGGCCCGCGUCUGAUUAGCUAGUUGGUGGGGUAAAGGCCCACCAAGGCGACGAUCAGUAGCUGGUCUGAGAGGAUGAUCAGCCACAUUGGGACUGAGACACGGCCCAAACUCCUACGGGAGGCAGCAGUGGGGAAUCUUGCGCAAUGGGCGAAAGCCUGACGCAGCCAUGCCGCGUGAAUGAUGAAGGUCUUAGGAUUGUAAAAUUCUUUCACCGGGGACGAUAAUGACGGUACCCGGAGAAGAAGCCCCGGCUAACUUCGUG